AAAGCAGUCGUAACCAUAAGACGAUGCAUUUGAAGGUUCAUUUGUGAAGUUUGCUCCUUAUUCUGAGUUAGGGUGUCUACGAUGGAUAGAUCAUUACUCAUCACCUUUAUCAUCCUUACUGUUGUUAGUUGUGUUCUUUCAGUGGAUGCAGAAUGUAAUGAUAAUAGUGACUGUUCAAGUGACCUUGCAUGCUCAAAUCAACAAUGUAAGGAUCCUUGCUCUGGAGCUUGUGGAGAGAAUGCCGAGUGCAAAGUUAAGAAUCACAUUUCCCAGUGUAGUUGUCAACAAGGCUACGAUGGAGAUCCGUUUGAAGGAUGCAGCAAAUAGAGUGAAUAUAAUUUUUCGAGUUUGCCCGCGACUAAACUUGGCAGCUGGUGUCACUUAAAAUUACAAUACCUUUGAAAACAAGUAAAUUUGGUCUCAUUAAAUAGUCUCGUCAAAUACUAUUCGGGCUUUUAAAACAAAACACAAUGUAGACCAUAAUUUUUUCAACAAAAAGCAUACGUGCAGGUGCAAAAAUGUUGCCAUGUUGCCACCAGCACUCAUGUUUACUAUUCAAAUAUAAAUUAGCAAUGUGUUUUUUUCAGAUGCCCUUAUGAAAUUACUUACGAUUGUCUAUCUGCAAAUAGAAAUGGAAAAAUAAUAUUGUAUAUAUAUUUUCAUGUGAAAGAAAAUUUUUGUAGAUGGUGAGCAUACCUUCGCGGUGAUAAAUAUCCCUCAUUACUAUCAGCAUACAAUAGAAUCAAUAAAGGAUGCAUGAAAUACACGAAUCACGAAUUAAUAAUUAGAAAAUAUUUCCAAGUUCGCUAAAAAUAUCAGUAAAUAUAAAAUGUAGUGAUAAUUGUGUAAAUUUAUCUUUGAAAUAAUUAACUGAAAAAUAAAGAUGAUCCGAUGAUUCUCCCUCAA